UGUCUAGUAUAAGCAAUUAUACCGUGAACUGCGAAUGGCUCAUUAAAUCAGUUAUCGUUUAUUUGAUAGUACCUUACUACUUGGAUAACCGUGGUAAUUCUAGAGCUAAUACAUGCUAAAAACCCCAACUUCGGGAGGGGUGUAUUUAUUAGAUAAAAAACCAAUGCCCUUCGGGGCUCCUUGGUGAUUCAUAAUAACUUCUCAGAUCGCAUGGCCUUGCGCCGGCGACGGUUCAUUCAAAUUUCUGCCCUAUCAACUUUCGAUGGUAAGGUAUUGGCUUACCAUGGUUUCAACGGGUAACGGGGAAUUAGGGUUCGAUUCCGGAGAGGGAGCCUGAGAAACGGCUACCACAUCCAAGGAAGGCAGCAGGCGCGCAAAUUACCCAAUCCCGACACGGGGAGGUAGUGACAAUAAAUACUGAUACAGGGCUCUUUAGGGUCUUGUAAUUGGAAUGAGUACAAUUUAAACCUCUUAACGAGGAACAAUUGGAGGGCAAGUCUGGUGCCAGCAGCCGCGGUAAUUCCAGCUCCAAUAGCGUAUAUUAAAGUUGUUGCAGUUAAAAAGCUCGUAGUUGAACCUUUGGCCUGGCUGGCGGGUCCGCCUCACCGCGUGCACUCGUCCGGCCGGGCCUUUUCUUCUGGAGAACCGCAUGCCCUUCACUGGGUGUGUUGGGGACCAGGACUUUUACUUUGAAAAAAUUAGAGUGUUCAAAGCAGGCCUUUGCUCGAAUACGUUAGCAUGGAAUAAUAGAAUAGGACGUGCGGUCCUAUUUUGUUGGUUUCUAGGACCGCCGUAAUGAUUAAUAGGGACAGUCGGGGGCAUCAGUAUUCAAUUGUCAGAGGUGAAAUUCUUGGAUUUAUUGAAGACUAACUACUGCGAAAGCAUUUGCCAAGGAUGUUUUCAUUAAUCAGUGAACGAAAGUUAGGGGAUCGAAGACGAUCAGAUACCGUCGUAGUCUUAACCAUAAACUAUGCCGACUAGGGAUCGGGCGGUGUUACUAUUUUGACCCGCUCGGCACCUUACGAGAAAUCAAAGUGUUUGGGUCUGGGGGAG
rnacentral:rRNA from 1 species